UAACCACUACACCACACUGUCUCCAGAAAAAAUGAAACUUACAUCUUAAGUUAAUAUAAGCCCUCCAAAUGGCCAGAUAGGUUUUACCACAAAACUGACGUCUAUGUGAAGUAUGUUUAAAUAUAGCCAGGGCCAUAAGGUAUUCGGACCAUUGUGCAAUGGGCAGUGCUUAUUUAUCCUUCCAGACUCAAAGUAUACCGUAUUUUUCUGUGUAUAAGACACCCCCAUGUAUAAGACGCCCCCUAUUUUGGGGAGUCCAAAUUAAGAAAACACCCCUCACCACCACCUGUGUAUAAGACAAGCCCCAAUUUUAAACCUACCUUUUUGGUUAAAAAAAAACAACCUUAGUCUUAUACACGGAAAAAUAUGGUAAGUCUCUUGGCAACCAUAUAAAGUAGGACACAUGGCUGCCCCUGAAGCACUUUGGAAAGAAAGGCGCAGAGAACUUGGUGCGGGCAAAUGGGGGCAUCCAUUCUGGUGGUGUUCAGUGCAUCUAUGUUUCUACAGAUCUAUUGGGGAAGUGUGUAUAAAAUGCAUAUAUUUGUGCAAACAAUGUACAGAAUUGCAUUAUAUUAUGGGGAAUUGGUUGCAAAAAUGUGUAACUUGGAGAAUAUACUCUCUAAAUUGCUGGUAAAUUUUCAUUAGGGCUUGAAAAACAGCAACGACGCAAACAGAUGCAAAUACAGUCAUACCUCAUGUUACGUCCGCUUCAGGUUGCGUUUUUUUGUCUUGCGUCCUGCAGCAACCCGGAAGUACUGGAAUGGGUUACUUCUGGGUUUCGCUCCUCACACCUGCGCAGAAGCGCCAAAUCGUGCCAUGCGCCUGCGCAGACACAGCACUUCGAGUUGUGGGCUUUUCACAUUACGGGCGGGCCUCCGGAAAGGAUCCUGUCUGUAACACGGGGUACCACUGUAUGUGGAAAACCAAGAAUCUGAAAGAAUAAUUUUUUUUGACAGAUUUGUUGAGCCCUCUUGCCAUCUUGUAUUGAUGCAUAGCAGGUCUGGACAACUGUUGUCCCUCCAUAUGUUAGAAUCAAAGAAUUAUACAGUUGGAAAGGACCCCAGCGGUCAUCCAGUUCAAACAUCCUGUAAUGCGGGAGUCAGAGCUAAAGAAUUCCUGCCGGAUGGCCAUCCAAAUUGUUUAAAAACCUCAAAUGAAUAAGAGCUCCCUGCCUUCUGAGGUAGCCCAUUCCACUGUCAAACAGCUCUUGCUAUCAGAAAGUUCUUCCCAAUGUUUUUCGUUGGAAUUUCCUUUCUUGUAGCUUGAAGUCAUUGGUUUGGGUCGUAUACUCUGGAGCAACAGAAAACACGCUUGCUCCAUCUUCCAUGUGGCAACCCUUCAGAUCUUUGAAGAUGGCUAUCGUAUCACCUCUCGGUGUUCUGUUCUCCAAGCUAAACACACUAAACUGUUCCUCAUAAGGCUUGGGUUUCCAGACCUUUUAUCAACAUGGCCGCCGUCUUCUGCACACUUGUUGCAGAAGUACAAGUCCGAUUAGCCCCAGCAAGCACGGCCAAUGGCCAGGAAUAGAUAGGAGCUGAAGUUCAGCAACUUCUGGAGGGCCAGAAUCUUCCCUGUCCCUGUUUUACAGUACUGUGUGUAUGUCUUUAUUGCAUUGCAUGUUUUGUUGUGCACCGUUUUUAUAUUCUACAUGGGUGGGUGAUAUAUGAUUGCUUUUGUAAUGAAUGAAUGAAAUGGAAUACUUUGUGUAGUCCUACCACCAUCAAAGCUCUCCUCAACACCCCUCCAACCUAAAACAGCUCAGCAGCGGAAUAACAAUUGAUUUCUCCUGUUGUGGAUGCUAGGAUCCGAACCAAUGGAUUCAAGAACUUUCUGACAGUAAGAGCUGUUUGACUGUGGAACGGGCUCCAUUGGAAGGUGGUAGGUUCUCCUUCCUUGAGAUUUUUUAAGUAGACGUUGGAUGGCCAACUGUCAUGGAUGCUCUAGCUGAGAUUCCUGCUUUGCAGAGGUUUGGACUAGUUCCCCUUGGGGGUCCCUUCCUACUUUAUGAUUCUAUGAUUAUUGUGUAUUUGUCUGUAUCUUUUUGUGCCUGGGAUCGUACUUCUUGAAGAGUCAUCCUGGGAGCAGCACGUAUUUAGCUGCGGUCAUGCUUGGCCCGGUUCACUUUUCGUAUGCGGUCUGCCGUCAUCUGUAUCCUGGGACGUUUAGUUAAUGAAACAACUUCUCGCCAGAUACAGGUCCCACCCAGCCUUGAGGGGGGAGGCACGGCGCCAGGGUUUGCAGCCAGCAACACCAAGUAUUGCGUUUUAAUCACUAGAUUAAGUUUUCCCCCUAAUGCUUUUCCUUUUCGCUAUCGCCAAGCAUGUCAUGUUAUAAAACAGUAACAUUUGUUAAGCAAGGCUUGGCUGGCAUCGGCAAACCCCCUCGCCCCUGGCUGUGUCGAUAGCGGAGUGAACAUUUGGCUUGACAGGCUGCCAAUAUAGACUCCCUGGAAAUCAAAUUGGGCCAAUUGGGAGGGGGAGUAGCUGGGAGAGAACAGGCUUGUCUGUGGAUGUACAAAACGCAGAGAGAAACAGAAUGAACACAGGAGAUGGAGAACAAAGGGUGACAAGCUAAAGACACAGAGCGUGAUCUAGCCAAAAGUUACGCACAAAUGUUUUUUAGUCCUCUUAAUUUCAGUAAGUGUGUGCAGAAAAUCUAUCCUCUGUCUCCAUAUUAUUCCAGUAAAACGGAUUGCUCACUUGAAGGGAAAGCCCAGUCUUGUGCAAUUUUUCCAUGCCUUUCCGUUCAUGGGAUCACAUUUUUCAAAACAAGUCAUGCAAUGAGCAACAAGGAUUUUUGAUAUUAUUAUUAUUAUUUUGCAGACUGACCUGUCUGUAAACUUGGAAGUCCUUGCUUCGUGUGCACAGACCAGAUUGUAGCCUUAAUUAAGUUUCUUUCCGAAUGUACCUAAAUGGGUUGGGGAAAGGUCACUGCAAACACAAAUGUCAGCGAUUUCCCCCACCCAAAAUCCCAUUGCCUAUUGGAAAGAAAACCACAGUCCUGACAAAAUAUAUAUAAUUGUCUAAUAUGCAAUGCUUUCUUUGCAAAGUUAUUAGCAUUUGUGCUCAUAAGGUAAUAUCCUAGCUGUAGAGUGUCAAAGCACUUCACAGGGAGGCCUGUGUGCACACCAAACAUUUAAAGCAGAUUUAAAGCAUGUGGCUUUAAAUCCUGGGCACAGUUGCAUGUUAAGGGUGCUGGGGAACCACAGCCCUUUGAGGGGUAAACUACAGUUCCCAUGAUUUUUCGGGUGAAGCCAUAUAUAAUGUAUGUGCAGGCCUUAAUGUGGAGAACUACUCUCUUCUUGUAAUCCUUGUAAAGUAGGGUAGGUCUAUAGCCUGAUAGCAAACUCGGUUCUUCUUCUAAUGUAGAUCCUUCUGUAG